UUUUUCUUAAUAGUGGUUGUAUUUAAUAUGGAUUCAUUAUAUCCUGUGAUGCCGAAUGAAAAGUUAUCGAAGCAUCCCAGGAGAAGGCAAGUCAUCUAAACAAGUGGCAAUAUAAUCAUUAAUGGCAUUCUAAGUACUUCAUGGUCUAUUUGGAAAAUGUUAUUCUUUUGCUGGAGAGCAUGUUUACGGAUUACCAAACCAUGCAAGGAAAGGACUAGGAGUUGCCGACUGGUGGUAUAGUACAGCUUGUUUUGUACUAAAAUUUAACUAAUGGACUUGACGACAUUAGACAUAACAUAUAUGCUUGAUUGAGCACUGACACUACAUGCAGUGUAUUUUACUUGUAAUUCAAGAUUGAACAGAAUAUUUAACCCUUUAAGUGGCAAUGUGCUCUACUUUAUUAUUUUAUUAUUUUGUGUCCAAUGCAAGGUAUGCUGCCACUCAAUGGGUUAAAGUCUUUCUGUAGAUGGAAAUAUUGAACAAUAACUAUGUAGUAGCUAUUGUGCCGGGAAUGAAACCCCUGUGAUUCGGAUCAGCUCCUUAAUUGCAAAGAGUCCAUCAAGCCCCAAGAGUCAAUGAAGGUCGCCAGGAGUUUAUGUAUAUAAUACUGAUACCAGUUAACUUAAUAUACUACCACUGACACCACCAUUUAAUGGUUUAUAUACAGUAUGUACAGCAACUUGUGGUGACCUCUUGGCAAACAGACACUUUAAGUCAGAGGGCAGCAGUAGAAUUGCAGGGCUGUAGGUUCAGUUUAUGCUGGCAGACUUGCAAUUGCUAUCUGAGUUAUUUGAAGUGUGUUUGUUCACCACAACCAGGUAUAUCAAUUGUGUUUUUUGCUUGCUACUUUGGAUUAAAUAAAUAAUUACAAAGCCCGGUGGAAUUGUAAUCAAGACCCAGCGUUUAGACACUCCAGUCUAGUGUCUUCUUUAGGGGUGAUCUAAAGUUGUAAUUGUGGCUUCUUAAAUACCCAAGGGAUGACAUCACCUGCCAAUGAGAUGCAUGUAUUCCUCUGGCAAAUAGGCACCGUCAUCCCUAUUCACAGCAUAAUUACUCAUAUUUAUAUGCCAUGCUUCUAGGCAUAGUCUUUGACCAUGAUAGCGAUUGUUUGUGGUAAUUACUUUUAUUAGAUUUUUCCGACACAAUCUCGUGUUUGGUGCCACACACAUGUUCUGAUAAAGCUGAUUUUCCCUUGUUUUAAAGUUGAAACAGCCUUUUGAUGUUCUUUUAGCCAUGUACCAAACUAGUGUUAAGACUGACCCAAAUACUCUUUUUCGCAGUCACCGCAUGGUAUAGAAUAUACAGCAUGAGUUUUCUGAUUUGUUUUAACAGGAUCUUUUGGCUUUGCGAAAAUAUGGCCUAAAGUCAAAUACGGUUUUAAGGCAACAUUAAUAUCAUAUUACAUGCAUCUCAUUGGCAGGUGACGUCAUCCCUUGGGUAUUUAAGAAGUGACAAUUGCAACUUUAGAUCACCCCUGAUGAAGACACUAGACUGGAGUGUCAAAACGUUGGGUCUUGAUUACAAUUCAACUGGACUUUGUAAUAAUUUAUUUAAACCAGAGUAGCGAGCGAAACAUGCUCCCAGUUAGUUCUAUGAAACACAUGUUAACUGUACAGUUUCCAUUUGAAAUGUCCAUCUACAAAAACCCAUGAUCAGUCUGCUAUUAUUGCCUUGCUAGAGUAGGCUGUUGAUUGUCUCCUAUAUUUAAUAUUGGCUAUUUGCAACAUCCUGCAAUCCAUCAUAUUAUACACAUGCAGCCAUGAUAUCAUCAAUCAAACUUUGAACUUAGAACUGCAUUCAAAGAAUGUUAUCGAGCAUAAGAAUAUAUAAUUAUAUGCUAAAGCAAAUUGUAUUUCCUGUUACAAUACUGUAUACCUUGUAUAUAGAGGGAUAAUAAAUUAUUUUGACUUCAGGAGGGCUAUUAUAGCAUGCAUGAUUUAAGGAGCAGCAACUCAGCAAGGGGCUCAUUUUGGGGGCAUUCCUCGCAUGUUCCGCUGCAUGUACUCACAUGCAUGUUUACUAUUCCAAAAUGUUUCAUGGUUUUAUUGUGAAAUUAAAGUUAUUACAAAGAUCGACGUGAUUUAGUUAUAUUAUAUAUAUAGGAUUGAGUAAUAUAACUUCGUUAAAUUUCAUUGAAAUAAAUUUUAUUCAAGUGUUUGAUUUAUGGCUAUUGGUGAAUAUACUUUUCAAGACUGCAUGCAUGCACAAGUUAGGUAACGCGUGUUAAUUUAAUUUGCUUUUCACUGACAAUUUGAGUGAAAACUGUCGGUGUGUUUACUGAUUUCAGUAAAGUGAUGUUGUACUCAAGAAUUUGAGUCACUGUGGGUGAAUUUGCUUUACUCAUAAAUUUGAGUAUUUU